ensembl:lncRNA
AUGGAUCCGCCUGAAAACUCGGCGAACCGCGUUGGUCGCACUAUCUGGACCGUUUGGGGUUAUCUGUCUGGGGCUGUUACCAGAUAUCUCAGACCGGAAGUCACAGAUGAAGGAAACCAAAGUGUUCAUGCCAGAACAGAUGAAAUUGACUUGAAAAGUGCAGUAAACAAGAUUGACCGAGAAGGAAAGACAAAUAAAAGCGACAAUGAAAAUGACAGAGCAGAGGUCAAGUGUUCCCCUUCUAAAGUCAGAGUGGCUGCUCCUGUACAGUGGGAAAACACUGGUGUGGUUAAGAUCGACAAUAAUGAUAAACUCCAUGUUCAUACCACAAAAAAACAAAUUUACCAUUGUGCAGCAUGGUCCACUGGGACAGAUACAGACAGCAAAGGACGCACAGCUGAGAAAGUUUCAUCUGAUGAGGUUCCAGCCGAAGAAGAACAUGCAAACUGUGAGACUGAGGAGAGAGAAACUGCACAAGAGCUGGAGGUCACUGGAAAAACUGAACAAAAUGAUGGUGACAAUAAAGAAGCAUGUGAUGAGAAUCGUGAGGUUGAGAAGUGUGCAGAGAAGAGAGAAGAUGCAGAUAACACAGACGUAAUGAUCCAGUCUGUGCAAGAUGUAGAACAGGACAAACAGAUCAGCGUGAUGGAUCAUAGACAGACAGAAGACACUGGAGGUUUAAAACAUCCUACUGAUGAAACCGAGAAACAGAUCAUUGUCCAGAAGAAUCAGGGGAAAACUGAGAGUGAUGAAGAUCAGGGGACUGAAUCACAAGUGCAGGAUUUACUGGAAUAUUUGACAGAUGAAGCAAACCGCAUUUCAAAGCCUGAGAGACUGAAACAAACAGACAAAUAUUUUGAUGAAAUUGCUGAUGUCUCUAAAAACCAGAUUGAGGAGAUGAUUCUUGGAACUGGAAGAGCAACUGAGCCGGAGGAGGAGAGUCAAACUGCACAAGAGUUGGAAGAAAUCGGGAGCUUUGAACAAAAAGAUGGAGACAGUGAAGAACGUGAUCAGGAUCGUGAAGUGGAAAAGUGUGAUAUGAUGAGAGAAGAUCAAGGUAACACAGACGUAAUGAUCCAGUCUGCGCAAGAUGUAGAACAGGACAAACAGAUCAGAGUGAUGGAUCAUGGACAGACAGAAGACACUGGAGGUUUAAAACAUCCUACUGAUGAAACCGAGAAACAAAUCAUUGUCCAGAAGAAUCAGAGGAAAACUGAGAGUGAUGAAGAUCAGGGGACUGAAUCACAAGUGCAGGAUUUACUGGAAUAUUUGACAGAUGAAGCAAACAGCAUUUCAAAGCCUGAGAGACUGAAACAAACAGACAAAUAUUCUGAUGAAAUCAAUGAAUUCUCUAAAAAUGGGCUUGAGGAGAUGAUUCUUAGAACUGAGCAGGAUGAAGACACCGCAGAAAGGGAACAAGACCUGACUAAAUAUGAGCUAACGGAGUCUGAAUCAGAAAAACAUGCACCAAAUGAUGAAACAGUCCUGAAAAUGACCACAGCAGCGGAUGAAACCGUCCAUGCAUUAGAAGACACCCUGCUGUCAGAUUCAGAACAGCACACUUCAGAAAAUAUUCCAGAAUCAGGAACUGGCUCAUCUGUGCUGGCCACCAAAACUGAAGGCAUUUUUUCAGGUCUGACUGUUUGCGAGUUCUCUGGAGAAUCGAGGAGAGGACUAGAGACUGAUUGGCGAUGUUUUGAGGAGAUCCAAACUAAGCUACACAAUCCCCAAACUCCUGCAGAAGAGCAGGCAGAAAGAGACGCUGAGCGCUCGGAGAAAGCAGCCGAGACUGAACACGACACCGAAACUCUAAUCCAAACAGACCAAACCGAGCUCUCGCUCAAAGAACAUGUUGAAUUCAGAACUGAAACAAAGAUCCGUUCAGGAGACGAGGAAGCAGAAGCCUUUGAGAUAGAAAGUCGAUCACCUGUCAUCAGAAAUGUCCCUUUACAGCCACACGAGCUUCUUGAGUUCACAGAAGGACAAUGCAAAUCGUCUCAAGGAACAAUGGACACUUUCAGUGAAACACAGAGGAAUUCAAGCACGUCUGAAAGCACUGGAACUGCAGAGCAUGUAUCAACAGAGCUUCUGGAGGAACCUCUAGAUCUGCAGGGCAAAUCAGAGACAGAUGUGGCGAAGACCGCUUUAGAGUAUGUAGAAGAAAUAACAAAUCAAGUCUUGGAGGAAAUGAUAGAAACAGAACGUAACUUGGUGGAAAAAACAGAACCUUUGGUAGGACUUUCAACAGAAGAACCUGGUGAUGCAGAACAUCAAGCACCUGCACGGUGCGUGUCUGCAGAUGCUUCUGUCCUGGAAGAAGAACCGAUGUUAUUAGCUGAGACAAUGGACAGUAGGGUGGAAACCGCAAGCAGUGAAGAACAUAUUAGUUCACCGGAGUGUGAAAGCACUGAAGCUGAUGGACGUCAUGAGCAGAUGCAGAAGUCCAUCGCUGGAGAAACAGUGUUGAGAAGUCAUGAGGACUUGAUGGAAGUCAGCAGACCUGGGGUGAAAAGAGGAUUUGAUCAAGUGAGCGAAGAGCUUCCAGAGGUGAAGACAAAAGAAAAAUUUGAUCUGAUCCUACAGGCUUUCGAGGACUCCUCUUUAGACUUCAGCGUUCAGAAGUCUAGAAUUGCUGUGAAGAAUCCACUCGUCCGGCCUCCCACAGACAUCAGAAAGCUGCUCUUCAGAGCCUCGGCCGAACCUUCAGAUCGCAGUCAGACGGCCCGGGUCUCCGCUCCAAGCAAAGGCAUGAUUGGAUUUAAACUCCCAGGGCUGGGCGCAGGGCUGCCGGUGCUGAGGAAAACUGAGUUUGGGCAGAAAGCAGAAGCCGAGAGAUCACUACAGACACAGCAGAAGUCAGUUGCAGUAACAGAGGAUUCUGUCAAACAAGAGCAAAUGCCAGCUAAACCCAAAUGGACACCGCCAAGGCAUCCUGGCAUGGGGAGCCCCUUCAUGAUGGCAGAACUCAAAAACAAGCUCAAGAAGCCGGUCCAGGAAUAAUAUUUCAUUACAUCAUGAUUUUCAGAUGCAUUCUUCACCUUUUUUUGUCUUAAUCAAGCACUGAGCAGCCUGGUAAAUUAGUUAUUCUACUGCAGCACAGCAUUUCAUUUUACUUCCACUAUUUUGUUUGCUUUGGACAAAGUGAGUAUCUAAGCAACAGUUUAACUGAACUUAUCAACAUUUAUACAGUGUCUGUAUUUACUUAUAUUCAAAGAAAAAAGUAUGAGGAAAAUGAUUACAAACUAAAUAUUAAUAAACAUUUUUUUGCACUUUUUUGCA